GCAAGUCGAGCGGGGUGAUGGUGCUUGCACUAUCACUUAGCGGCGGACGGGUGAGUAAUGCUUAGGAAUCUGCCUAUUAGUGGGGGACAACAUUUCGAAAGGAAUGCUAAUACCGCAUACGUCCUACGGGAGAAAGCAGGGGAUCUUCGGACCUUGCGCUAAUAGAUGAGCCUAAGUCGGAUUAGCUAGUUGGUGGGGUAAAGGCCUACCAAGGCGACGAUCUGUAGCGGGUCUGAGAGGAUGAUCCGCCACACUGGGACUGAGACACGGCCCAGACUCCUACGGGAGGCAGCAGUGGGGAAUAUUGGACAAUGGGCGGAAGCCUGAUCCAGCCAUGCCGCGUGUGUGAAGAAGGCCUUAUGGUUGUAAAGCACUUUAAGCGAGGAGGAGGCUACUUUAGUUAAUACCUAGAGAUAGUGGACGUUACUCGCAGAAUAAGCACCGGCUAACUCUGUGCCAGCAGCCGCGGUAAUACAGAGGGUGCAAGCGUUAAUCGGAUUUACUGGGCGUAAAGCGCGCGUAGGCGGCUAAUUAAGUCAAAUGUGAAAUCCCCGAGCUUAACUUGGGAAUUGCAUUCGAUACUGGUUAGCUAGAGUGUGGGAGAGGAUGGUAGAAUUCCAGGUGUAGCGGUGAAAUGCGUAGAGAUCUGGAGGAAUACCGAUGGCGAAGGCAGCCAUCUGGCCUAACACUGACGCUGAGGUGCGAAAGCAUGGGGAGCAAACAGGAUUAGAU
rnacentral:rRNA from 1 species